ACCCGCACAAGCAGCGGAGCGUGUGGUUUAAUUCGAUGCUACACGAAGAACCUUACCAGGGUUUGACAUGCAAGUGGUAGGAAUCUGAAAGGGACCGACCUUCGGGGAGCUUGCACAGGUGCUGCAUGGCUGUCGUCAGCUCGUGUCGUGAGAUGUUCGGUUAAGUCCGCUAACGAGCGCAACCCUCACUGUGUGUUAUAUGUGUCACACGGGACUGCCGGUUUUAAGCCGGAGGAAGGUGGGAUGACGUCAAGUCAGCAUGGCCUUUAUAUCCUGGGCUACACACACGCUACAAUGGUCGGUACAAUAGGUUGCCAAGCCGCGAGGCGGAGCCAAUCCACAAAGCCGGCCUCAGUUCAGAUUGUAGGCUGCAACUCGCCUGCAUGAAGAUGGAGUUGCUAGUAACCGCAGGUCAGCAAUACUGCGGUGAAUACGUUCCCGGGUCUU
rnacentral:rRNA from 1 species